rnacentral:rRNA from 1 species
AGUAACACGUGGAUAACCUACCUAUAAGACUGGGAUAACUUCGGGAAACCGGAGCUAAUACCGGAUAAUAUUUUGAACCGCAUGGUUCAAAAGUGAAAGACGGUCUUGCUGUCACUUAUAGAUGGAUCCGCGCUGCAUUAGCUAGUUGGUAAGGUAACGGCUUAUCAAGGCAACGAUGCAUAGCCGACCUGAGAGGGUGAUCGGCCACACUGGAACUGAGACACGGUCCAG